UGCUGGACUGGGCAAAAAAAGCUGUUAGCCUGGAGGGCCCACGCUCGCUGCAGCAGCACAGACAGCUUUGAAUGAAUCACAGGAUUCCAAGAAUUAGCGACAAACCUCAUCACGUGGGCAACCCGCAGCCCAGGAGCCGCCAGAACAAUGCAGUGACUGAGGAGGCUGAUGUGAUCCCUGGAUGUCGAAUACCUUCCGUAGGAGUAAAGAGAACCAUUAGGCCCAGACAGCGGUUGAAAACCACAGCUCAGUUGGCGAGGAGCGCCGUGCAGCAGCGGAAGCGCGUGGAAAAAUUCUGGCUGACUCAUCCAUAAUUCAUCUGGCAUCCCGGGGAAUGUGCGCACUGGAGCGGGAUCCCUGGCACUCCCACAAGGGAGAGACCCGCUGCCCCGGCGAGAGAUGAAAACCUGAAGACCAGCACCUGUCAGAGUGCUUAUUAACCUAUAACAGAACUGGCAAAAACAGACGAUCACCGAAUGUUUCUUUUCCUCAACCUGUUUAAAACAGGCACAACAGUGGCCUCCGAGGGAAGAAAUGCAACAUUUCUUAUACCUGUGACUAUGCUCACCCUCGGUCCAGCCAGGCAGGGGUGCUGCUGGAAUUGCAGCAGCCCCAGGACAUGGUAGGGAAGAACUGCCCCAAUUUGAGAGGAAACCCUCGCUGCAACACUUGCUUUUCAGUCCUGCCCGAGAGUUCACUGAACUCCACGCAGAAGGUCUGUCAAGUUAGGAAAGUUUCCUGUAGUCUCUGCCUCUUCAAAAAAUACCCAACAGCCAGAUUAAAUCUGUCUUGUAGUGACUUUCAUGUCAUCAGAUAGAGGAGUUUCUAAAGAGAUGCAAGCGCAAUGGCCAAGUCACUGUGCUAGAGAUGCAUGAGUUCAUUUUAAAAUAUGUUUCCCGUUUCACCCUUAUGCAUGAUCUUCUCUUAAAAACAGUAAAUUCAAAUUAGUACUGAAUACAUUUUCUUAAAUAGCACCAACUAUGGGAAAGGCUCUUUCAACUCCAUAACAUAUAUCAUCAUGAUACUGUAGGAAUCUUGUACAGUAUUAGUGUAUCUUAUCUCUGAAGUUCACAUUUGGAGUUCAACUAUGUAUCAAAAAAAUCCCCCUCUGAAAGGGGACAUUAGUCAGCUUACUACUGGCUUGCCUUUUCUUUAUUACCUCAUGUUUAUUCCCCUAGUUACAUGCUGCAUAGUUCAAACAUUGCGUGUUAGUAGCGAACAUCUCCAUUCCUGUUCAGAUACGGGGCCCUGGCUUUGAUACCUGAUACACUGUGCACCAAUGUGAAGCUUGAUUUACCAGUGAGAAUCCAAGGGAGUUCAAAAUCCUGCUGGCACAAGUGAGAUUGGGGGACCAGGCCCAGGACUUUUGUUUUGGAGCUGCUAGUCACCGAUUUUUGCAGUAUUAGAGUCAACGCUUUGUCCAUCCUCUCAGCCCUAGUAAACAAAGGCAAAACUGCGCAGUGCCUAAUAUUUUUAUGUUUAUUUUAAGAGUAUCAUCUUGCAAUGCCAAAUUCAAGAAUUUGUCUCAUGCAUCUGUUGAUUUUGUAACUAGAGCACUGUUGGUCAAAUUGUUUUCCUUACUGCUUCGUAAUUGUGGGAGGAAAACAUGUAAGUGGAUCGGAAUUGUGCACCACAACAAUGAAUGUAACUCUCAUUUAAGGCACAGGAUAUGAGAUAGAGGGAUCAAACUGGAGCCAGCUGAGGACAGCUCUUCUACCAGGCACUCCAGUUCCCCUAGGAGGAUUUUAUCCAACCCUUGAAACCUAGUUGGGAUAUUUCUUCCAGUAGAGCUACACCCAUGGUGUAGGCAGGGUGCAGACAUUUUAGCACAGUCAAACCAUAUGCAGCUUGGUUACACUUUGCUGUGUUCUUGGCAGCACUGAAGGAGCAUGAAUUAGUGGAUUUUUUUCAUGUAUGUGUUUGUAAAAGGCACAGUACUGGAUGUUUGACAUCACUGAGGAGCCAAAAUAAAUAUACUGUGGUAAUGACCUUCAGGAUGUGGAAGAGUAUGCUGUAUCACUUAAUGAUAAGUAAAUAAACAGAAUAACAAUU